rnacentral:rRNA from 1 species
UACGUACUGGGCGAACGUUAUUCGGAAUCACUGGGCUUAAAGGGUGCGUAGGCGGCUACUUAAGUAGGGUGUGAAAUCCCCCGGCUUAACCGGGGAACUGCGCUCUAAACUGGGUGGCUUGAGUGCGAUAGGGGUGUGCGGAACUUCCAGUGGAGCGGUGAAAUGUGUUGAUAUUGGAAGGAACACCGGUGGCGAAAGCGGCACACUGGGUCGUAACUGACGCUGAGGCACGAAAGCCAGGGGAGCGAACGGG